GUUUAGGAAACUCCAAGGUAUCGAUGGAGGAGUUUCAAAAGAUGUUAACAGAGAUGAGUAAACUAGAAUAAAGAGAGAGAGAGCAAGACGAGCUGGUUCCAGUGGCGUGUUAAAGAUGGAUCAUCUGUUUAGACAGAAAUAAAAUGUGUAAUUACAAAACCGCAA